UUCUAUAGCUGUGAACCUUGCUAAUUGUGAAUAAAUUGGACAUUCUACCAAAACACUAUGAAAUAUGAAUAAAAUGGACAGGUUGUUACACAUUGGUAAUUACUAAUAUCUUUUGGCCAAGACCUACAAUGUGGGUGGAGAAGUUAAAUGUUCCUUCUACAAGAACAUGUUAGAGGUUGGCAUCUUUGGUUUCACUGGGGAAGAUCAUAUUGGAAAAUCUAGUUUUCCACCAGUGCAGAUGGUGGAUGCAUUUAUGAUGGCUAUCAGACCACGUCCCCACGUUUGUCUGAAGUGAUCCUACUUUUGUCUGCCCAAAUAUUGUUCGGAGAUAACUGGUUAACUGGAUUUAUUGUUUCUCAACUUGAAAAUCGGGUUUUCUAUCUAUACUAUGAUUUUGUUAGAUAGACAUGCUAUCAUCAAAAUUUGUACCUUUUUCCUUACAAUCACCUGAUAAUUCAAAUGGCAAGCGACUUGGUGCCUC